CGGGAGUGUUCAGUAUGGAGAUGUGUUAGGGCUCCGAUGUGUUGGGAUCCCAGGAUGUGUGUCAUCCGAAUUUUUGUUUGUGUAGAUCGAGUCUAGCUUUCUUUUUGUGUAGUUAGGCCUCGAUGGUGAGACCAUUUGUUUGUUUAGUAAUUGUUUGUUUGCUUGCUUGCUUGUUUGUUUGUUGCUUCUGCUGUGUUGUUUACUAACCAAUUGUUGAUUGUGUUUGGGGCAUGGGCUGAAGGGGGUCGCUGUUGUUUAUUUUUGGGAACUCACUGAGUAAUUCCGAUUACUCAUCCCCUCUUCUACUAUGCAGGUAACCCGUAGGUAGGAAGCUUAGGGCGCAGCGGAACGGGAAGCGA
rnacentral:lncRNA from 1 species